AAGAGUUUGAUCAUGGCUCAGAUUGAACGCUGGCGGCAGGAUAACACAUGCAAGUCGAACGGUAACAGGGAAGCAACACUGCUUCGCUGACAAUGCUUGGACGGUGUGAGUAAUAUGCAGAGCACUGCCUGAUGGAGGGAUAACUACCAGAGCAGUAGCUAAUACCAUAUAACGUCCUUAGAGACCAAGAGGGGACCUUCAGACCUCUGCCAUCGGAUGUGCCCAGAUGGGAUUAGCUAGUGGGUGGCUUGGCUCUCACCUGACGUGAUCUAGCUGGUGCAGAGAGGGAUGACCAGCCACACUGGAACUGGGGCGGUCCAGACUCCUACGGGAGGCAGCGGUGGGGAAUAAUGGGCGCAAACACCAGUGCAGCCAUGCCGUGUAUGAAGGCCUUCGGGUUGUAAAGUACUUUCAGCGGGAGGAGGAGUAAAGUUAAUACCUUUGCUCGUGGCGUUACCCGCAGAAGAAGCUUCCAGCUAACUCCGUGCCAGCAGCCGCGGUAUACGGAGGGUGCAAGCGUUAAUCGGAGAUUACUGGGCGUAAAGCGCAGGCAGUUUCAUUAAGUCGGUCAUGAAAUCCCCAGGCUCAGCACGGGAACUGCAUCUGAUACUGGCAGAAGCAGGUCUCGUAGGGGGGGUAGAAUUCCCGGUGUAGCGGUGAAAUGCGUAGAGAUCUGGAGGAAUACCGGUGGCGAAGGCGGCCCCCGGACGAAGACUGACGCUCAGGUGCGAAAGCGUGGGGAGCAAACAGGAUUAGAUACCCGUAGUCCACGCCGUAAAACGAUGUCGACUUGAGGUUGUGCCCCCUUGAGGCGUGGCUUUCCGGAGCUAACGCGUUAAGUCGACCCGCCCGGGGAGUACGGCUGCAAGGUUAAAACUCAAAUGAAUUGAUCGGGGCCCGCACAAGCGGUGGAGCAUGUGGUUUAAUUCGAUGCAACGCGAAGAACCUUACCCGGUCUUGACAUCCACGGAAGUUUUCAGAGAUGAGAAUGUGCCUUCCGGGAACCGUGAGACAGGUGCUGCAUGGCUGUCGUCAGCUCGUGUUGUGAAAUGUUGGGUUAAGUCCCGCAACGGGCAACCCUUAUCCUUUGUUGCCCGGCGGUCCGGCCGGGAACUCAAAGGAGACUGCCAGUGAUAAACUGGGAAGGUGGGGAUGACGUCAAAGUCAUGGCCCCUACGACCGGGGCUACACACGUGCUACAAUGGCGCAUACAAAGAGAAGCGACCUCGCGAGAGCAAGCGGACCUCAUAAAGUGCGUCGUAGUCCGGAUUGAGUCUGCAACUCGACUCCAUGAAGUCGGGAAUCGCUAGUAAUCGUGGAUCAGAAUGCCACGGUGAAUACGUUCCCGGGCCUUGUACACACCGCCGUCACACCAUGGAAGUGGGUUGGUAAAAAGAAGUAGGUAGCUUAACCUUCGGGAGUGGCGUUUACCACUUUGUGAUUCAUGACUGGGUGAAGUCGUAACAAGGUAACCGUAGGGGAACCUGCGGUUGGGAUCACCUCCUUACCUUAAAGAAGC
rnacentral:rRNA from 1 species